GGCUUCGCUGGGAGCCAGCGGUUGGUUCUUUCUUUCGUCGGGUGGGGAAGCGGUGUUGUGCUUGGCCGCCUUUACCCGGCACCAGCCUCCCCGACCGAGAACCUCCCUGUGAAAGCCACCACCCUGUUCCCCCGCAGCCGGACGUGGCCUGUCCCUGCUCCCGUGCCACGGUAGCGAGGCGCCUCCCUACUGUUACAGGGCCUUCCCCGAAGCCGGCAGCGCGAAGACCCCCCCCCGGAACCCCAUAUGGCCGUCGCGGCAGAAGGAUCUCCGACCUGCCUCGGCGGGCAUGAGUUUAUUGGAAGGUUCUAAGUCUCCGCCACUGACCUGACAUUCUACAUCAUGUACAACCAGAGGAAUGAGAAUUACUGAAGGUCACUGCAUGUUGUGGAUACAAUCUCCCUCUGAUGUGAUCUUGAAAGGAAAGUGACCACAGCACUCGGAGCGACCAAGAGAUCGUUAUUGCAGCAGUGAGAAAGAGGAGAAGAGAGAAAGAGAGAGCAAGAGAGGGGGGCCCUGGCAGGAGAGAGUUCAGACUUGAUGCAAACUGCGAUAAAGAACCAGACAGGGGCUGGGGAUGUGGCUCAAGCAGUAGCGCGCUCGCCUGG